rnacentral:rRNA from 1 species
AACGAACGCUGGCGGCAUGCCUAACACAUGCAAGUCGAACGAUGCCUUCGGGCAUAGUGGCGCACGGGUGCGUAACGCGUGGGAAUCUGCCCUUGGCUUCGGAAUUACAGUUAGAAAUGACUGCUAAUACCGGAUGAUGUCCCCCUGAGAGAUCUUGGGGACCAAAGAUUUAUCGGCCAGGGAUGAGCCCGCGUAGGAUUAGGUAGUUGGUGGGGUAAAGGCCUACCAAGCCGACGAUCCUUAGCUGGUCUGAGAGGUUGAUCAGCCACACUGGGACUGAGACACGGCCCAGACUCCUACGGGAGGCAGCAGUGGGGAAUAUUGGACAAUGGGGGGAACCCUGAUCCAGCAAUGCCGCGUGAGUGAUGAAGGCCUUAGGGUUGUAAAGCUCUUUUACCAGGGAUGAUAAUGACAGUACCUGGAGAAUAAGCGCCGGCUAACUCCGUG